UCGAUGGCAUAUCUUGCACAUUUUUUUUCUUUUUUCUAGACUAUGAAUGGGUUAACAAAACUGUAGCUUUCUGUGAAAUGAGGUUGGCUAUAGGACACACAAUGUUCUCAAAGGUACGGAUAGUUAAAGUAAGCUAACCAGCUACUGUUUAUGUUAGCUAACCAACGGUCACGGUGCUAAUGUUAGCAUUCGUCGACGGUAGAGACAUCCGGACUUCACUGAGCUGUGCAAGACCUCCUGUUGACCUUAAAUUGGAAAGACAGGAUUAUUUUGUCGACCAACUGACCUUCCUGAAGAGAUAGAGAACGGUUAUCACCAUGACAACGUAAUUACUGGAACGGACUUCGUCAGUUAUUAGACCGACCUGAUGCUCAAACAUACAUGAAUCACAGCCCAAAUGGUUCAGAUGGGAGCUUUGCAAG